rnacentral:rRNA from 1 species
GCGCAACAGUCGCGAAUCUUCCACAAUGGACGAAAGUCUGAUGGAGCGACGCCGCGUGGUUGAUGAAGUCCUUCGGGACGUAAAGACCUUUUAUGGGGGAGGAAGUAAUUGACGUUACCCCAUGAAUAAGGGGCUCCUAACUCUGUGCCAGCAGGAGCGGUAAUACAGAGGCCCCAAGCGUUAUCCGGAAUCACUGGGCGUAAAGGUGUGUAGGCGGUUUUGUUAGUCUUUUUGUGAAAGCUCUUCGGCUUAACCGAGGAAACGCGGAAGAAACGGCAAGGCUUAGAGGAUACGAGGGGUAGAGGGAACUCAUAGUGUAGGGUGAAAUCCGUUGAUAUUAUGGGGAACACC